AUUGAACGCUGGCGGAAUGCUUUACACAUGCAAGUCGAAUGGUAACAGGUCUUCGGAUGCUGACGAGUGGCGAACGGGUGAGUAAUAUAUCGGAACGUGCCCAGUCGUGGGGGAUAACGUAGCGAAAGUUACGCUAAUACCGCAUACGAUCUAUGGAUGAAAGCGGGGGAUCGUCAGACCUCGCGCUCUAAGAUGAGCCUGCGUCGGAUUAGCUAGUUGGUAGGGUAAAAGCCUACCAAGGCGAUGAUCCGUAGCUGGUCUGAGAGGACGGCCAGCCACACUGGGACUGAGACACGGCCCAGACUCCUACGGGAGGCAGCAGUGGGGAAUAUUGGACAAUGGGGGCAACCCUGAUCCAGCAAUGCCGCGUGUGCGAAGGAGGCCUGCGGGUUGUAAAGCACUUUGAUGGGGGAAGAAGGCCUUUUAGUUAAUACCUAAGAGGAUUGACACUACCCCAAGAACAAGCACCGGCUAACUCUGUGCCAGCCGCCGCAGUAAGAC
rnacentral:rRNA from 1 species